ACUCCUGCGGGAGGCAGCAGUGGGGAAUAUUGGACAAUGGGCGCAAGCCUGAUCCAGCCAUGCCGCGUGAGUGAUGAAGGCCCUAGGGUUGUAAAGCUCUUUCACCGGUGAAGAUAAUGACGGUAACCGGAGAAGAAGCCCCAGCUAACUUCGUGCCAGCAGCCGCGGUAAUACGAAGGGGGCUAGCGUUGUUCGGAUUUACUGGGCGUAAAGCGCACGUAGGCGGACUAUUAAGUCAGGGGUGAAAUCCCGGGGCUCAACCCCGGAACUGCCUUUGAUACUGGUAGUCUUGAGUUCGAGAGAGGUGAGUGGAAUUCCGAGUGUAGAGGUGAAAUUCGUAGAUAUUCGGAGGAACACCAGUGGCGAAGGCGGCUCACUGGCUCGAUACUGACGCUGAGGUGCGAAAGCGUGGGGAGCAAACAGGAUUAGAUACCCUAGUAGUCCCAUGA
rnacentral:rRNA from 1 species